CUACGGGCCGCUGCAGUGAGGAAUAUUGCACAAUGGGGGGAACCCUGAUGCAGCAACGCCGCGUGGAGGAUGACGCAUUUCGGUGUGUAAACUCCUUUUAUAUGUCAAGAAAAUGACGGUAGCAUAUGAAUAAGCACCGGCUAACUCCGUGCCAGCAGCCGCGGUAAUACGGCGGGUGCAAGCGUUACUCGGAAUCACUGGGCGUAAAGGACGCGUAGGCGGGUUGGAAAGUCAGGUGUGAAAUCCUACAGCUUAACUGUAGAACUGCACUUGAAACUUCUAAUCCAGAGUAUGGGAGGGGGAGAUGGAAUUAGUGGUGUAGGGGUAAAAUCCGUAGAUAUCACUAGGAAUACCUAAAGCGAAGGCGAUCUCCUGGAACAUUACUGACGCUAAGGCGUGAAAGCGUGGGGAGCAAACAGGAUUAGAUACCCGAGUAGUC
rnacentral:rRNA from 1 species